rnacentral:lncRNA from 10 species
CACACCAUAGUUUUCUAUUUGAAUGAUUUGUUAUGUUGGUUAUCUGUGACAAAGUCAUUUGCCCCUUUUGGGAGGGAAUACAUAACUAUAAUAAUUCAAUUCUGAACUUGAAGAAAACAGAAAGCAAAGUGGCAUAAAAUUGCCCUUUUUGUUGUAAUUUUUUUUUAAAUAUUUGAGACAACGUAUUUGAAGGCACGAUGUUCCCCUUUCUUCUGAGUUGGGGAUAUUCCGUAAGUGAGUGAUGAAUAAUACACUAUGUUCCAUAACGUCUCUGUGUUUAAUUGUCCAGAGCACCAUGUGUAUACUCACUUGAACCUGGAGAAUUGUUCAUGUGAUUGGAAACCCAAAGAAAACCACUUCCUGGCUGUUGAUACAGGGGCCAAAAAGUUGUAAUACCUAAAGAUCACAUAAGUAGGUUUCUUGAUUGUUGUAUAUUUAUUUUGUAUCAUUCCUGACUUGUAAAUAAGGAAAUAAGUCAUUAAGAAAUUACUAAAUUAGGUUGCAAACCAUGGGCAGGAAAGAAGUCAAACAGAAUGCCUGACACAGUCAAUCAGCUAAGUCUAAUUUUCCUUCCCCAUUUCUUUUUCUUUUUUUCCUCUCCUGUUGCUUUUCUUCUUCUUUCCCUUUCAGGCAUCUCCUCCAGUUUUAUUUUCUGUAACUCACAGAGUGCUGCAGAAUAAUGUUAGGGCUUUGCAGUUUAUUCCUUGCGAUUUAACUGCAUAAAUAUAAAAAGUGCCUGAGCAAUAAUGCACGUUGGGUUAUUCAAUAACACAAGGAAUGUAAAGCGAUUUCAUAUCUCCUUGAAUCAGGAACAUUAAUUAAUCAUAUGAUGAGAAUGCAACGUUUUAUUUACCAGGGCAAGAGGCUGCCAAGAUCUUUCUGAGUUUAAUAAUUGCACACUCUGUGGAGGGAGGAAAAAUUAAUUUAGUUAUUAAAUUGGAGGGUGCUUUUUUUCUAUCAUGGUGAUGCUGGAAAGUAGCCAGGCCAUAAUGUUAAUGUUACGAGAGUUGAGAUGUGGAUGACUUUCACUAAAAGCUUUCUCCACCUUUACUAAAAUAAAAAAAGAAAAAAGAAUAGUGUUGGGAAUGGUGCACAAAAUUUGUUUUUCGUGAGUGUAGAUAAUAAAACAAAGUUUCUAUCUUGCCCUUCAAGAACAAAUGGAUUGCAAUGGACUAGGUGCAUGCAAAAAUAGCCCCCUCCCAAGGUGCGAAUGUUGCCGGAAGGAAGUGCCUUGUGCCAUAGGCCAAGUGAAGUAGUUCCAUGGAAGCAGAGCAAGUCAUCAUCAAAGUGUAAGGUUGCAGGAGAAUGAAGGUGUCAGCGAGGAGGCAGUGUGACAAAGGGAAACAGGGUAAUUUGGCAUAAUUUUCUUGCCUCUUCAUCUGUGUACUUGUUAGUUUCCCUGGCACAAAUGUUUUCCUUGUUGUUUUUCCUUCUCUACUCUCAGAUUUCAAAUUUCCAUUUUCAAGUAUUAUCUCAGGUGCCUCCACUUCCUAGAGUCUUUCACUGGUUGCCUCAAUUCAAAGAGAUCUUGAUUUUUAUUUUUCCCACAUCCUUCUCCUUCUCCCCCUUCCUCUUCCUUUGCUUCUUCUUCCAUUAGCUGAACUCACUUUGACUUGCAGCACUUUCCCAAACACAUAAUAUUGAACCAUACAGGUUCCAUACUCAAGUGUACAUUGUCUUUUGUUUCCUGCUAAUCUUCUUGAGGGUGGAAUUAGGUUGUUACCAAUCUCUACAAUCCUAAGUGUUAAAUAGUGUCAUUUGGCACUUUGAUUAUUAACAAUUACUUCAUUGCCUUUAUUUGGAGGGGAAACAAUAUUGGCGUGGAGGUGUGGCUACCAGUUCCAUCAAUUUAUUAACUAUAUGUAUCCUUUAUCAAGUCAAUUAAUGAUCCUGGUCACCAGUGCUUUCAUCUGUAACGUGUAUUAUUGCAAAAGUCUUUAUGUCUCUAAUAUUGUGUGGCCUAAUAUUGUAUGCUUAUUUUUACAUGAUCCAUUUAAAGUACAAUCCCGCCGCCCUGUCUGGGAUGUGAGGAGUGCCUCGGCCCGGCCGCGACCCUGUCUGGGAGAAAGAAGGUGAUUAAUUCUGCCUAAGUUCGACACGAUCCCAUGAGACGACCCUGCCAUCCAGAGAAGCACAAUCUUCAGCCUUCAAGACACUUUGGACUUUGACUAUUGAGUUUCUAAAUUUAAAAACUAAAUUGAGUGUCCUUAGAACCAAUUUAUCUUGAGGAGGAUAUCAUUUUUUGAGGAGUUAAAAGGGCAAUUAUUGUUUCUAGGUCAUUUGUUAAAAAUUGGCACACAAUAUAUUUUAAUGCUAUUUAGGUGCAUAUCUAUCAUGGAUUAUUAACUUUGAUCAUGUUUGUUGUCUUUGCUCCCUAGAGGUACAUAAGCUCUGAAGGAAAUAUCAAAUCCCA